GAGUUUGAUUCUGGCUCAGGACGAACGCUGGCGGCGUGCCUAAUACAUGCAAGUCGAGCGGAGUUGAAUAAGUGCUUGCACUAAUUCAACUUAGCGGCGAACGGGUGAGUAACACGUAAAGAACCUGCCUCAUAGACUGGGACAACUACUGGAAACGGUAGCUAAUACCGGAUAACAUAUUUUUCUGCAUGGAAGAAUAUUGAAAGUCGGUCAUGCUGACACUAUGAGAUGGCUUUGCGGUGCAUUAGCUAGUUGGUAGGGUAAAGGCCUACCAAGGCGACGAUGCAUAGCCGACCUGAGAGGGUGAUCGGCCACACUGGGACUGAGACACGGCCCAGACUCCUACGGGAGGCAGCAGUAGGGAAUCUUCCGCAAUGGACGAAAGUCUGACGGAGCAACGCCGCGUGAGUGAAGAAGGAUUUCGGUUCGUAAAACUCUGUUGUUAGGGAAGAAUGAUUGUAUAGUAACUAUAUACAGUAGAGACGGU
rnacentral:rRNA from 1 species